CAUCCUAAGCCCUAACUAAAUGGAUUAGUUAGACAUAACUAUGAAUACAGAAAAUAAGAAAUACAUAGAUAGGAUAAAGAGAGGAGAAGAACUAGAUGAUGGCAGCAAGGAAGUUCCCAGGACAGCUCCAAGCUCCCUUGACAGCUCCAAGCUCUCUUCUCUCUUUGUGGUGAAUCUGAAUGUGUGUAUGAGAGUAAUGGAUGAAGUGAAUGUGUGU
rnacentral:lncRNA from 1 species